UGCCGCGCACUAUGGAGGCCCGAACAGGCUGAAAAUGAUCAAUUUCCUGGGCCAUGGUGGUGACUUCAGAGGCUGGCGAGGGAGGGGGAACCUUCGUGGACCCCGCCGCGACAUACAGGAAGCCCCCCGAAGAGGCUAAAGGAUUGUUUCACAAAAUACAUGGAGGCAGUUCAAUGAAGGAAUUAUUUAAGGAAGCAGCAGAACAGCAAGAGGAGCAGGCCAACAGACUAACUGCACCAGUUCACCAGAGAAGGGGUAAUUUUUUGAGGACCUCCCCUUCCCCAGGAAGCCCUCUGUUCCAUCAGAAAUUAUGUUCCUGAGGCUGCACAGUUAGUUGGAAGAGAAGAUGAAAAACAGUUUGGUGCUAUUUUGCCUUUCUCCCUUCGUGGGGCAUCCAAUGUGAAUGUGGGAGUGCGAUGCUUCCCCUAAGAAUGGGUCCACAAUCUGCUGCCUAAAGUGGCUUGCCACCACACUUCAUAUUAGUGGCAGCUCUAUGUGAAACAGGCAUUCCAAGAGAUAUGCAGAAGCC